AGCCACGCAGUGAGCACAAAGCUAACUAUUCUUUCGCCUUUUACUAAAGAAUACCGUGUGCGCAUUGCAAUUAGUUGCAUAUGCCAAUUUUUGGAGGGGUUCUCUCUUUUUGAGUACC